GCCAUCAUGGUGCAGUGGUUUGAGUGUUGGACUAUGACUCUGGAGACCAGGGUUCGAAUCCCAGUUCAGCCA